rnacentral:misc_RNA from 1 species
AACGCACAUUGCGCCCGCUAGUAUUCUGGCGGGCAUGCCUGUUCGAGCGUCAUUUCAACCAUCAAGCCCCUGUGCUUGUGUUGGAGCCCUGCGGCUGCCGCAGGCUCCCAAACCCAGUGGCGGGCUCGUCGUCGUACCGAGUGCAGUAAAUUUACCACGCUCAGGGCACGCGACGGGUGACCGGCCGUAAAACCCCCCCUUCUCAAGGUUGACCUCGGAUCAGGUAGGAAUACCCGCUGAACUUAA